AAUAAAACAACAGACUUUAGCAAUUAAAGGAGAUAAACAAAGAAAAGCAAAGAGUGAUUUUGCUGAAGUCGAAUCAAUCAAUUGCAAAUCUUUAUAGCUCCCGAGGGAUUAACAAUUAUGAUAGAAGCACGUGUGUGUGUGUGUGUGUGUGUGUGUGUGUAAAACAGAAAUUCAACUUAGAAGAAAAAGAAACAUAGUCUUCGAUUUUGCAGAUUUUGCUUGAUGAUUUGGGUAACGAAG
rnacentral:lncRNA from 1 species